rnacentral:rRNA from 1 species
GACGAACGCUGGCGGCAUGCCUUACACAUGCAAGUCGAACGGCAGCAUGGGUGCUUGCACCUGAUGGCGAGUGGCGAACGGGUGAGUAAUGCAUCGGAACGUACCCGGAAGUGGGGGAUAACGUAGCGAAAGUUACGCUAAUACCGCAUAUUCUGUGAGCAGGAAAGCAGGGGAUCGCAAGACCUUGCGCUGAUUGAGCGGCCGAUGUCAGAUUAGCUAGUUGGUGAGGUAAAGGCUCACCAAGGCGACGAUCUGUAGCGGGUCUGAGAGGAUGAUCCGCCACACUGGAACUGAGACACGGUCCAGACUCCUACGGGAGGCAGCAGUGGGGAAUUUUGGACAAUGGGGGCAACCCUGAUCCAGCCAUGCCGCGUGAGUGAAGAAGGCCUCGGUUGUAAGACUCUUCGUCCGGUAGGAAAUCGUAUGGCGUAAUACCCUACGUGUCGGAGUGACGGUACCGGACGACUAAGAAGACACCGGCUAACU